rnacentral:lncRNA from 1 species
GGAGCUUAAUGAAAUCGAAGGCUUGCGCUUGGCUAGAAGUUUGACCCGGAGAAGAGACAUUGGCAGGACAUGGAUGUCUGUCUGUAUGGAGAGAAGAAUUUGAAUUAAUAAACUUUAUUGACAUUUCAUGUGAAGGGUAUGAAGCCUUUCCUGAAGGAGCUGCUGGACCCAACAAAACGCCAUGUCUUUGACAGUCUAACCAGAUCAGAGGCGGAGCUAACCCAGACCCAUACACACUGUCUCAGGAAAGGGUCUUGCAGCACCGGUCUAGGUCUGCACCCUGGCUGUCUGCCUGUUCUCCAGAGCUGGCCUGCCUACAUCACCUACGUGUCUGACAUAGUCCGAGACCUGCAGGAGAGUGAGAAGAGGAGGGGAGAGAACUCUACCUGUGUCACUCAGACCGCAUGGGCGUCACCCCACCGCCAACAAGUCACAGGAGUGGCAGAUCAAGGCACCCUGACAACCCAUAGGUUGUUUCCAUGGCAACUAGACCAACAGGUCAUCUCCAGUCUCAGUGGAUGAAUAACUCAUCCUCUCCAGCGUCCUGCACAAAGUUUGACAUAUACAGCAACACACAAUCCCUUUCUUCUCCUCCUUCCAGUCUGCUGUCCAUCCCUCUCUCUCUUAGUUCCUGGUCCCCUCCCCUGACCUCUCCUUCUUCUGCCCCUCCGCCUCCUCUUUCUGAUAGUUCAGCCCCUUAGCGCCCUUCUUCUCCUCCAGCCUCCCUUCUUCCUUCUCUGUUUGGUAGGACAACCCCUUCCCUCCCUUCUCUAGCCUCCUCUCCUCUCUUUUCCCUUCCUUCUUCUCCUCCAGCCUCUCAUCCAUUCUCUUUCAGCACAGCCCUUUCUUUCCCUCCUUGUCUUUCUUCCCCUCCUCUCUUAGCAACCUCUCUCCUACCUUCUCAGUCCACCCAGGCUGUCCAUGGCCAUUCCUUUAGGAUGCUGUUCUGCAGGCAGGGGACAGAGAGAAGAGG